GUACUUGCUUCAGCAGCACAUAUACUAAAAUUGGAAUGAUACAUGGAAGAUUAGCAUGGCCCCUGUGCAAGAAUAACACACAAAUUUGUGAAGCAUUUCAUAUAUUU
ensembl:snRNA U6 U6 spliceosomal RNA